rnacentral:RNase_P_RNA from 1 species
CUGGCAAAACAGAUGAUCGCCUUUGUUCGCAAGAACAGGGGAGGAAAGUCCGAGCUCCGAAUCCGUCGCAAGGCGGAGGAAAGCGAAAGCGGUUAACGACCGCCGGGAUAUAAAGCAAAUGGAAGGAACACGUGUCUCUCCAUUUACGGAAACCCAGGGAAAGUGCCACAGAGACUAUACUAGCCCCGUGACGCGCAAGCGUUUUACGGGGUGAAACGUGAAAAGUGCGGACAGGUGGUGCGGCGCAAGCCGUUCUGCGAGUCCGCUCGGCUGCCGGUAACGGCAGUUUGCGGCAAACCCUUUCUGGUGCAAGAGCAAGAGUCGGUGAUCGCAAGAUUGCUGGCAAUGGUCGCUCGCUAGAGCCGUGCAGUAAUGCGCGGCCCAGAGAGAUGGUCAUCCUGUCUGCUGCAAAGCAGGCACGACAAAACUCGGCUUACCGUUUCGCCCGGCAC